rnacentral:other from 1 species
CUCUCCCUGCGGUGUGCGACAGUCUGUUUUGUGAUUGAGCCAACGCAAUCACAACGGGAGCCGAUCUCCGGUCCGCUUUGAGCAAGCCCUCCGCGAGAGGGAAGCCUGUGUCCGGGCCGGGUGAGCACCCACCUGCGAGAGGCAGGUUCAGAUCCUUGCAGGCAACGGCACUUCGGGGCAGAC